GAUGAAGAACGUAGCGAAAUGCGAUAAGUGGUGUGAAUUGCAGAAUUCAGUGAAUCAUCGAAUCUUUGAACGCACAUUGCGCCCUUUGGUAUUCCAAAGGGCAUGCCUGUUCGAGCGUCAUUUGUACCCUCAAGCUUUGCUUGGUGUUGGGCGUCUUGUCUCUAGCUUUGCUGGAGACUCGCCUUAAAGUAAUUGGCAGCCGGCCUACUGGUUUCGGAGCGCAGCACAAGUCGCACUCUCUAUCAGCAAAGGUCUAGCAUCCAUUAAGCCUUUUUUUCAACUUUUGACCUCGGAUCAGGUAGGGAUACCCGCUGAACUUAAGCAUAUCAAUAAGCGGAGGA
rnacentral:misc_RNA from 1 species